GGAGCUCAGAGGAAGAGCAUCUUGCUUUUUAUGCAGAAGAUCCCAGGUUCCAUCCUUGGCAUCUCUA